GACGAACGCUGGCGGCGUGCUUAACACAUGCAAGUCGAACGGAAGGGCCCUGCUUUUGUUUCUCUCUCGAUUGGCGAACGGGUGAGUAACACGUGUGUAACCUCCCCCUGACUUUGUGAUAACUUCAGGAAACUGGGGCUAUUACCGGAUAUGAUCUCUUGCAGCAUGGGGUUGGAUGGUGAGAUUCGGCGGUUGUGGCUGGACUCGAUGGUUCUCCGCUUGUUUGGGUGGUAGUUGCGUACCAAGGUUUUGACGGGUAGGCGGCAUGAGAGGGUGACCGGCCACAUUGGGACUGAGAUACGGCCCAGACUCCUACGGGAGGCAGUAGUGGGGAAUAUUGCACAAUGGGCGGAAGCCUGAUGCAGCAACGCCGCGUGCGGGAUGACGGGCUACGGGUUAUAAACCGAUUUCGCAUGUGACGAACAGUGAGUGACGGUAAUGGGUAAAGAAGCACCGGCUAACUACGUG
rnacentral:rRNA from 1 species